UGACCCCGCCCGCCAUUACCGGCACGGAGGCGCUGCCUCGCCGGGCGCGUGGUGUCGUCGGGGUUCCCGAGGCGCCCCAGACCCGCAAUGCCCAGCAUCGUGCUCGUCCCCUUCCCCCGCGCCGGGCACCGCGGUCACGGUGCCCCGAGUGGUGGCUGCCGGUGGCGAAUCUGCGGCGCAGGACGGGCGCGCAGGGGGGUCGGUGGACGCCUCGUGCCCGCUGCGCUUUAGCGCCUCCUCCCCCUCACGGGCGGCGCGCGGCGCCUGAGGGGAUUUUGGCGCCUUUUUCCCCUCACGGGCGGCGCGCGGCCCCUGAGGGGAUUUUGGCGCCUUUUUCCCCUCACGGGCGGCGCGCGGCCCCUGAGGGGAUUUUGGCGCCUUUUUCCCCUCAGGGGAGGCGCGCGGUCCCUGAGGCGCUCCGGGCCCCGCGCUGCCGUGAGGCGACGGGAAAACGCUGCAGGGUCGUGUCCGAGCCCGAAUAAUAUCCCGUAAAGGUAGCGAUGGAGUCAGGUGAACCGUCCGUCAGUGCCGGGGGAUCCUGGUCUCUGCACAGUGUGGUGCCGAAAUGGCGGUUUAGGAUGGCAGCGCUUCCAGAGGUGGUUGAGUGGAGCAGGACGAGCUCUGAGGGCAGCGGGAAGGUGCCGGUGUGUGGGAGAAGGCCAGACGAAGGGGGAUGGCGUUAGGGACGGCUGAGGAGGCAGCGAGAUGGACCCCGGGAAAUAAAUAUUAUAAUGUAUGAUAAUUGUCAACUAAAUCAGCGUGACAAGUCAAAACACUCUGCUGCUGAAUCACACAGGAUUGUAAAUUAACCAGUAGUUUGGGAGCAGUGGAAUUGUCCACAAUUCCUUGCAGAAAUCAGCAAAGGUAUCACACAAAGGUAAAACCCUCCCAAAUAUCAAACAAGGUGAACCGUGUGGCUCUGAGGGUAUGAGGAGGAUGAAGAGUUCCAGACCUCAGCAUUCAGCUUUAAGAGCCUUUUACACUGAAAAUUAUCGAAGUGACUGAAAUAAAUAUGAAAACUUUGACAGUGAAACUUGAAAGUUGGACGUUGAACGUUUGACGUUGAAAUUGAAUGUCUGGCAUUGAAAUGCUCUCACGUGGCCAAUAAGAUAUAUUUCUAGACAUUCACGAGGGAGAAUUUGGGUGGAUCUGAAGGAAAGCCAAGGGGGAUGGUACCUGCCUAACCCGAAAGGAUGAUAGAAGGUGAAAAGAAGAAAAACUAACUCAACAUGGGUUGCUGCAAGUUGGUCUUGAUGCCUAGAGUUCCACUGGCCCAGUUUGUGUUCAUGCUUAAAUAAACUUACUUUUAUGAGCAAAUAAAGAGACAAGAGCUCUGCCCUCAUCUGCUUAGACUCUGCUGUCUGUGCCCACAAUGGACAUUUGUUGACAUGCAGCAGAAUAAUCUGUGACUUCAAUUUUAUAUUAAAGCAAGAGUUGAAAAGCUUCCUCAGCCAGCAAAAAUACGUCACACUAGUUCACCAGCUUCACUGGGCAGGAAAUGGUAAAGAAAAGGUGUAAACGGAACACCUGGCUAUGAGAUCCCUGAAGGCUAAAGAUCUGCCCUGGUUAUGGUCAGCUCAUCCAGGACUCUGCGCAGACCAUUGAUGUCGGCCUCCACACUCUGCCGAAGAGCCACUUCAUUCUCAUAUCUGUGCAUAAAGGGAUUAAAUAUUAUUUCUUACAUGUCCAAUGAGGUGAAAUGCAAACUAUUAAUGUAUUUUAUUUUAGUUUUAAUACGAAAUCUUAAUACACAAAAUUAUUAUAGCAUUGUUUAGUAAUUGUCUUACAAGUAUUCUACAAGGAAAGAGAUGUUAAUACAAAAGAAUUUUUUCCUUAUGAUAUUGGUAAGAGUUUUUGUAGCAUUAAGAUAUCCUUACUUCAGUCUGAAGUCAUCAGCAGCGAGUCUGGCAUUAUCAACCUGCAGAAUGAUCCUCGCGUUGUCGAUGGUUGCAUUGAUGAUCUAGAAUACAGUGUUCAGAGAAUAUUGUUACGGCCCAAAGGCUUCAUGGUUUUGUAAUGGCUUUAAACUUUGUGUUCUACAAGGGUUUGUAGAACUGCAUUCCAACACUGCCUUUUCCUUCAUUCAGAUUAGACAAAUCACUGUAUGACACAGCUACAGAGCUGCUUUAAUGUACAGGAAAAAUUCAGCACAUGUCACCAGUGCAAGGUGACAGAGGUGACUCCAAGCAUCAGUACCAAAGGAUAAAUGUGCUCUUGGUUUCCGAAAGAAAUUUGUCAUUUUCAUUCAUACUAUUAAGUGAGUUACAAAUAUAAAGAUCCAUUAAAUACAUUGCUUUGCUACCUUG